rnacentral:rRNA from 1 species
UACAGAGGGGGCAAGCGUUAUUCGGAAUUAUUGGGCGUAAAGGGCGCGUAGGCGGCCUGGCAAGUGACGGGUGAAAGCCCUCGGCUCAACCGAGGAACUGCCCUGUCAUACUGCCGGGCUUGAGUCCGGGAGAGGUGAGUGGAAUUCCCAGUGUAGCGGUGAAAUGCGUAGAUAUUGGGAGGAACACCAGUGGCGAAGGCGGCUCACUGGACCGGAACUGACGCUGAGGCGCGAAAGCGUGGGGAGCAAACAGGG